AAAAGCAGGCUGACGAAGCUGCGCACCCUGGGUAAAAUGCACGUUGAGAGGUGAACCAAUGGUUCACCUCUCACACUUGCAGCGCGCAGAUCUUCAUUGCCAUAAAUACCAGGGGCUUUCACAGCUAUGAAGCACAACCCAAUAAGCAGGACAUGCCUCGUGAAACGAUGUCGACCUAUGAUGUUGAGUCAGUAAUGUUAGCACGUGCGCAUAGUAGAAGAAUUAUUAAUACAGUCUCCGACAUUUAACCUACUAAUAGUUUAUAAGGACGCAUAUUUAUCGCCACGCGACUGCCUUUGGAAGCGUCCCUCAAUGUCGUGCAGUUGGUUCCGGAGGAGACGCGGACGCCAUCCAUACCUCUUCGUGUCUAGGCC
rnacentral:lncRNA from 1 species